AUUUUGGGGCAAAAGAGGGCGCUUUUGGGCCAGAUGUGCUGUGUUUUAGGGGGAAACGCGGCUGUUUUGGGGGAAACUCUUGGCUUUUUAGGGAACCAUGUUGGGUUUUGGGGGAGCCAUGUUGGAUUAUGGGAAAUGUGCUGGCGUUUUGGGGGAACUCUUGGUGUUUUGAGGAAACUCUUGAUGUUUUGGGGGAGCUCUUGGUAUUUUGGGGGAGCCAUGUUGGGUUUUGGGGGAACCAUGUUGGAUUAUGGGAAAUGUGUUGGUGUUUUGGGGGAACUCUUGGUGUUUUGGGGGAACCGUGUUGGGUUUGGGUGGAGCCAUGUUGGAUUAUGGAAAAUGUGUUGGUGUUUUGGGGAACUCUUGGUAUUUUGGGGGAACCAUGUUGGUUUUGGGGGAACCAUGUUGGGUUUUGUGGGGGCUCUUUGUGUUUUGGGGGAACCAUGUUGGCGUUUUGGGGGAACUCUUGGCAUUUUGGGGGAACCAUGUUGGGUUUUGGGGGAGCUCUUGGUGUUUUGGGGGAGCCAUGUUGGGUUUUGGGGGAACUCUUGGUAUUUUGGGGGA
rnacentral:lncRNA from 1 species